rnacentral:rRNA from 1 species
UGAGGAAUAUUGGUCAAUGGGCGCAAGCCUGAACCAGCCAUCCCGCGUGAAGGAUGAAGGUCCUAUGGUUUGUAAACUUCUUUUAUACACCAAGAAAAAGCAGGACGUGUCCUGCCCCGACGGUAGUGUAUGAAUAAGCAUCGGCUAACUCCGUGCCAGCAGCCGCGGUAAUACGGAGGAUGCAAGCGUUAUCCGGAUUCAUUGGGUUUAAAGGGUGCGUAGGCGGCUUUUUAAUUCAGUGGUGAAAUCCUGCCGCUUAACGGUAGAAUUGCCAUUGAUACUGAGAAGCUUGAGUACAAUUGAGGUAAGCGGAAGGUGUAGUGUAGCGGUGAAAUGCGUAGAUAUUACACAGAACACCAAUUGCGAAGGCGGCUUACGAAGCUGUUACUGACGCUGAUGCACGAAAGCGUGAGGAGCGAACA